GUACAAGUGAAAUGCUAUAGAUAAUAUAUCUCCUCUGUACCAAAAGGUAGUUUCCCCUUCAAAUUUUAAGACGGCAGACGAAUAGUCAUGCUCUGAUCUUUCAUCACUUUCUCCCAAUUUUGCCCCAAUUCAUUGUGUCGCCCACAAAGAAAUCUUCAGAAUGCAACCACUCAUCAAUGAAAUUUUUAUUACAAGGUAGGUCAAAAGUCACAGUUAUUGAAUGGGAGUAAUGUGAAACCCUCUAAAUUGAAUUAAAUCUGGUGCUCGCUCCUCCUUCGUUCUCUCUCUUUCUCGCAAAUCCCCUAAUGGAGUUCUGGUUGAGUGGAGUUCAAGAGACGCCGGCAUGGUGGGGUUCCGGUUAGUCGUACAGUCGUCGGAACACUGGUAAACAAGUGAUCUCUGCAUCCCAUCACAGGGAGGUAAUUCAUGUAGAAUUCUGAAUUCCGGAUGAAGUUUUUCCCCUCUUUGUUCUUGUUGUAGACCAAAACAACUAGAAGUUAAUCAAUCAAUAUUAGGAGAGGAUGAAGAUGUGACUCCAACCUAUGAAGAGCCUCCUACUCAGUAGCGGACUCGCAACCGGCCCAAGCAUGAAGCUGAGAUUACAGGAAGGUAAUUUGUUUCACACAUAUGUUUUAAGGAGUAAAAUGGGUAUUGCUAGGUUUGAAUUUAGUGUUCAUUAUUUGAAUGUGUUUCAAACGAAUAAUCUUUACUAUGAUAUUAUGCUUCAUUUUACAUGAUCUUGUAAUUUAAACCAAGUUAUAUGUAGAGUUCUGUGAUUACAUCAGCAAUUAAAUAGCAGUAGACGACCAUAUAUCAGAUGAGUUGAAACAGUUUUUGGGUUUGUCUUGUACACCACCAAGGAAGUCACCUGGCAAAAGCCCUGAUGAUAUGCCAAUAAUUGGUAGUGUUGGUAGCUACUGGAGCCACAUGAGCUCAGCACAAUCUUCGAGCUCAUGUUCAUCGUAUAAAGGCAUAUCGAAUGCCACCAGCAAGUACAGAGAGAUGAUUAUGCCUACACUCACAGAAAAGGUUGGGGAACAAUCCAGUGAAUCUCAAGAUGUAAACUCAAAGCAGCCUUUGAAAGAGAAAACUUCAAAGGCUGAAAGGCGUGCUCUUCAGGAGGCUCAACGGGCUGCAAAAGCUGCCGCAAAAGGAGGAAAUGCGGUAGCAAACACGAAAACCGGAAAAGCCAGCAGAUUUUGAAAGAAAGACAACGCAUCCUCCAUUGCACCAGUAGAAAAAGGGUAGUUGAUCAGAAAGAUAAAGAUAGAAAAAAAGACGUCCCUCAUCCACGAAUGCAAUUUGAUGAUGCAACUCGUGUAGAGAAACCUAAAAACGUGCAGUUGUAAAACAAACUGAGGUCAGAAACCGCGUCGAGCUUUUUAGGCAUCUACCUCAAUAUGAACUUAAAACAAAGCUUUCUCAUCUUGAAAUGAACUUUUACGGCCUCAAUUCUGUUCACCCUGCUGUUUACAAGGGUCUUCAGGCAUUCCUUGAUGCAUAGGUGGUGGAGGAACAAUGGGAAUGCCAUUUUGUGCCAAGGGUGUGAACUAAGAUCCAGGUGACCCAUUAGGCGAUUCAUCAUGUAAAUUCCGGGCCUAGGCGGAGUCGUGACUUGAGCAUUAGGAGGGAUGUUUAAAGCUAGCCCAGUCACAUAGUUUGAGUAGCAGUGUCUUUCUUUCCCGUGUUCUCUCUUAGCCUGGCCAAGAUUUGAUCGUGACUAAAAGAAAAUUGAAGCUUUUAUAGGAUCAAAAACUAUUAUCCAGGUACAUUAUGUGUAAUUUCUUGAUUUCAGCAGUUUCUUCAUUUAUCUUAACUAUGCAUGUUACUUUCGGACUUGUUUGUUAGAAAAUUCUAUCAAUCUCUAUUAAAUCUACAUGACCUUUCAACUGUCAAGCUUGGAUUUUUUUUCUUGUAUACUCUUGUAAUAAUAAUAAACAAGUGUGCAUGACAAUGGAAAACGACCAUUGCAGAUUCGUAGUCAUGCACAUAAGUAAAGGACCAAAAAAGUGGUAGUAAUGAACAUCUAUCUCACCUUUAUCCUAAAAGGAAGGCUGCUCACCCGUAUCCACAAAAGGCUGCAAAAAUGGCCAGUUUGAUACAAAAUUUUUACAACUGGUUGUAGUCUUAGAAUCUAGGGUCAUUAUCAGUAUAGUUUGCACUUCAAAUUAAUACCCUUGUACUAAACUUAACCAGAACACUAUCUAACCCAUGCCCUCAAACCAAACACCCCAAAGAUACUUAUAUGAAAUAGGGGUUCAAACGAGCCAGGCCCGAGCUUGAGAGCUUGGCUUGUUGGUAGUUUCUCAAGCUUGGUCUUGGAUUGUUUUAGGGGUGCUAAACGUUGCGCAAGUUGAAGCAUUGUUUAAAGAUCUAGAGGAGACUAUUUGCACUCCGGAUAUUUACACGUUCAUUGGUAUGAUGGACGCGUAUGGAAAAAACGAGAUGGUAGGUAAAAUGGAAGGGGUACUCGAGUGGGAUGAAAAGUAAUCAGGUAAAACCCGACAUCAUAACUUAUAACUUGUUGAUUGAUUUGUAUGGACGAAAGCAAGAAUUUGAAAAGAUGGAACAAGUGUUUAAGACCUUGUUACGGUCGAAAGAGAGACCGACGGUUUCCACUUUUAAUUCAAUGAUAAUGAAUUACGGGAAAGCACGGCUUAGAGACAAAGCGGAAGCGAUCUUUAGAAGAUAACAGAUAUGGGAUAUGCCCCGAAUUUCAUAACGUACGAAUGCAUGAUUAUGAUGUAUGGAUGUGAUUGUGUAUCGAAGGCGAGGGGAAUAUACGAAAAUAUGAUAGGGACGGAAAAGCAUUUAAAGGUUUCGACCUUGAACGCCAUGUUGAAUGUUUACUGUUUAAAUAGUUUGCCGAUUGAAGCAAAUAAGUUAUUUGAGACUGCGUGUAACAGUGGGAUGUUUCGUAUUGAUUCUUCGACGUAUAAACUUCUUUAUAAAUCUUACACGAAAGCGAACAUGACGGACUUAAUACAGAAAGUGUUGAAGCAUAUGGAUAGAGAUGGCAUUGUGCCGAAUAAACGGUUCUUUCUAGAAGCGUUAGGGGCGCUCGGAUCAUCACGAGCUGGUCAGGAUGCUAUUACUGCUAAAGUUAAUUCGAACAUGCCUGUAGAUAUGACCAAGAUAUAAGACCAAGACUUGUUCUUGUUCUAGAACUGAUUUAGUAGAUGUUCCGACCAGAAAUCAAACGGUAAUGAUGUCUGCAACUGGUGGUCAACUUGUUUGGAUUUCUGCAUAUUUCUUGUGGCUUUAAGGCUAAAUCGACCCGUCGCGUGUAGCAAAAUGUGACAAUUUUUCAUGUAGUUUUACUUGUUUAAUCAUAUUCAAAUAUUUAUUGUUAUUUUUAUCUUGUG